GCCUGGGUAGCUCAGUGGUAGAGCACUUUCUUGGUAAGAAAGGGGUCGGUGGUUCGAAUCCACUCUCAGGCU
rnacentral:tRNA from 1 species